ACGGGACCGGUGAAAAAUCCAGGUGGCCCUUCCGGCCGCUAAUCCGCCGGAUCACG
rnacentral:ncRNA from 1 species